CUACAGCAACAAUAUUUAUUAUCUGCAGCAGUUCACCUAUUAAGUGUAGACACUUUGGGUCUGAGUGA